rnacentral:rRNA from 1 species
GACGAACGCUGGCGGCGUGCUUAACACAUGCAAGUCGAACGGUUAAGCGCCUUCCUUUUUGGUGGGUGUGGGUGAGUGGCGAACGGGUGAGUAACACGUGAGUAACCUGCCCCCUUCUUCUGGAUAACCGCAUGAAAGUGUGGCUAAUACGGGAUAUUCUGGGUCUGUCGCACGAUGGGUCUGGGAAAGAUCUUGUUUCGGUGGGGGAUGGGCUGGCGGCCUAUCAGCUUGUGGGGGGGGUGAUGGCCUACCAAGGCGGUGACGGGUGCCCGGCAGGGGAGGGUGGACGGGCUCGCGGGGACGGGGGAACGGCCACGACUGGAACGGGAGACAGCAGUGGCGACUACUGGACACUGGGGGCGAGACUGAUGCAGCGACGCCGCGAGAGGGAUGGAGGACUGCGGGUUGUGAACAUCUGUCGCCAGUGAAGCAGGCCUGCCUCGUGUGUGGGUGGGUUGACGGUAGCUGGAGAAGAAGCGCCGGCUAACUACGUG